GACGAACGCUGGCGGCGUGCUUAACACAUGCAAGUCGAACGGUAAGGCCCUUCGGGGUACACGAGUGGCGAACGGGUGAGUAACACGUGGGUGAUCUGCCCUGCACUUCGGGAUAAGCCUGGGAAACUGGGUCUAAUACCGGAUAGGACCCUGGGAUGCAUGUCCUGGGGUGGCAAGCUUUUGCGGUGUGGGAUGGGCCCGCGGCCUAUCAGCUUGUGGGUGGGGUGAUGGCCUACCAAGGCGACGACGGGUAGCCGGCCUGAGAGGGUGACCGGCCACACUGGGACUGAGAUACGGCCCAGACUCCUACGGGAGGCAGCAGUGGGGAAUAUUGCACAAUGGGCGCAAGCCUGAUGCAGCGACGCCGCGUGAGGGAUGACGGCCUUCGGGUUGUAAACCUCUUUCAGCACCGACGUAGCGCAAGUGACGGUAGGUGCAGAAGAAGGACCGGCCAACUACGUGCCAGCAGCCGCCGUAA
rnacentral:rRNA from 1 species